rnacentral:rRNA from 1 species
CGGCGUGCUUAACACAUGCAAGUCGAACGAUGAACCACUUCGGUGGGGAUUAGUGGCGAACGGGUGAGUAACACGUGGGCAAUCUGCCCUGCACUCUGGGACAAGCCCUGGAAACGGGGUCUAAUACCGGAUAUGACCCUCGCAGGCAUCUGUGAGGGUGUAAAGCUCCGGCGGUGCAGGAUGAGCCCGCGGCCUAUCAGCUUGUUGGUGAGGUAACGGCUCACCAAGGCGACGACGGGUAGCCGGCCUGAGAGGGCGACCGGCCACACUGGGACUGAGACACGGCCCAGACUCCUACGGGAGGCAGCAGUGGGGAAUAUUGCACAAUGGGCGAAAGCCUGAUGCAGCGACGCCGCGUGAGGGAUGACGGCCUUCGGGUUGUAAACCUCUUUCAGCAGGGAAGAAGCGAGAGUGACGGUACCUGCAGAAGAAGCGCCGGCUAACUACGUGCCAGCAGCCGCGGUAAUACGUAGGGCGCAAGCGUUGUCCGGAAUUAUUGGGCGUAAAGAGCUCGUAGGCGGCUUGUCACGUCGGUUGUGAAAGCCCGGGGCUUAACCCCGGGUCUGCAGUCGAUACGGGCAGGCUAGAGUUCGGUAGGGGAGAUCGGAAUUCCUGGUGUAGCGGUGAAAUGCGCAGAUAUCAGGAGGAACACCGGUGGCGAAGGCGGAUCUCUGGGCCGAUACUGACGCUGAGGAGCGAAAGCGUGGGGAGCGAACA